rnacentral:rRNA from 1 species
GUGAGGAAUUUUCCGCAAUGGGCGAAAGCCUGACGGAGCAAUGCCGCGUGAAGGAUGAAGGCCUAUGGGUUGUAAACUUCUUUUCUCAGAAAAGAAUUAUGACGGUAUCUGAGGAAUAAGCAUCGGCUAACUCUGUGCCAGCAGCCGCGGUAAGACAGAGGAUGCAAGCGUUAUCCGGAAUGAUUGGGCGUAAAGCGUCUGUAGGUUGUUUUAAAAGUAUUCUGUCAAAGAUUAGGGCUUAACCCUAGAUAGGCAGAAUAAACUUUUAAGCUAGAGUUUGGUAGAGGCAGAGGGAAUUCCCGGUGGAGCGGUGAAAUGCGUAGAUCUCGGGAGGAACACCAAAGGCGAAGGCACUCUGCUGGGCCAAUACUAACACUGAGAGACGAAAGCGAGGGGAGCAAAUGGGAUUAGAAACCCCAGUAGUCC